CACGUAGGGGGCAAGCGUUGUCCGGAUUUAUUGGGCGUAAAGAGCUCGUAGGCGGUUCGGUAAGUCGGGUGUGAAACCUCCAGGCUCAACCUGGAGACGCCACCCGAUACUGCUGUGACUAGAGUCCGGUAGGGGAGCGUGGAAUUCCUGGUGUAGCGGUGAAAUGCGCAGAUAUCAGGAGGAACACCGGUGGCGAAGGCGGGUCUCUGGGCCGAUACUGACGCUGAGGAGCGAAAGCCAGGGGAGCGAACGGG
rnacentral:rRNA from 1 species